GAGGCUUUGAAGUGUGGACGCCAGUCUGCAUGGAGCCGACCUUGAAAUACCACCCUUUAAUGUUUGAUGUUCUAACGUGGACCCGUGAUCCGGGUUGCGGACAGUGUCUGGUGGGUAGUUUGACUGGGGCGGUCUCCUCCUAAAGAGUAACGGAGGAGCACGAAGGUUGGCUAAUCCUGGUCGGACAUCAGGAGGUUAGUGCAAUGGCAUAAGCCAGCUUGACUGCGAGCGUGACGGCGCGAGCAGGUGCGAAAGCAGGUCAUAGUGAUCCGGUGGUUCUGAAUGGAAGGGCCAUCGCUCAACGGAUAAAAGGUACUCCGGGGAUAACAGGCUGAUACCGCCCAAGAGUUCAUAUCGACGGCGGUGUUUGGCACCUCGAUGUCGGCUCAUCACAUCCUGGGGCUGAAGUAGGUCCCAAGGGUAUGGCUGUUCGCCAUUUAAAGUGGUACGCGAGCUGGGUUUAGAACGUCGUGAGACAGUUCGGUCCCUAUCUGCCGUGGGCGCUGGAGAACUGAGGGGGGCUGCUCCUAGUACGAGAGGACCGGAGUGGACGCAUCACUGGUGUUCGGGUUGUCAUGCCAAUGGCACUGCCCGGUAGCUAAAUGCGGAAGAGAUAAGUGCUGAAAGCAUCUAAGCACGAAACUUGCCCCGA
rnacentral:rRNA from 1 species